UGAACCACAUCAUAUAAAGUUUCUUUCUUUUUCUCUUAAGACUUUAUCAAAUUUUGUUGAUAUUAAUUUAGAUAUUUUACACCCGGUCAUUGUCUGAGUCUAUCUUUUUUUAAUCUACCUGACAACCAAGCUUCCUUUGCUCCAUCACAGAACAUAAAGGCAGAGAGUGUGUGUGAGCUGAUGCUGAGGUGAAUUCAGUGCCAUGAAUCAGUAUGAGGACAGGGAAGAGGGAGUCCCUCUCCCCAAAACGUCUCUAUGUGGAGAGCAGGAGACCCAGAGCAAAACUCAGAGAAUCCAGAGAGGAACAUCUGAACCUGGACCUGGAAAAAUGUCCUUAAAGAGCAAUGAUUCAAAGGAAAAUUGGAUUGAUUUUAAAUCUUCUAAAUCUCAGCCAGUAGAGA